CCUACGGGAGGCAGCAGUGAGGAAUAUUGGUCAAUGGACGCAAGUCUGAACCAGCCAUGCCGCGUGCAGGAUGACGGCCCUAUGAGUUGUAAACUUCUUUUAUACGAGGGUAAACCGCGACACGUGUAUCGUUUUGCAAGUAUCUUACGAAUAAGGAUCGGCUAACUCCGUGCCAGCAGCCGCGGUAAUACGGAGGAUCCGAGCGUUAUCCGGAUUUAUUGGGUUUAAAGGGAGCGUAGGAGGUUUGUUAAGUUAGGGGUGAAAUGUCGGGGCUCAACCCUGAAACUACAACUAAUACUGUCGGACUUGAGUACAGUUGAGGUAAGCGGAAUGUAUGGUGUAGCGGUGAAAUGCUUAGAGAUCACAAAGAACACCGAUUGCGAAGGCAGCUUACCAAACUGUAUCUGACAUUGAGGCACGAAAGCGUGGGUAGCAAACAGGAUUAGAUACCCUAGUAGUC
rnacentral:rRNA from 1 species